rnacentral:lncRNA from 10 species
CCAAAAGAGAAGGAUGACUAAAUCAGAGGAAACUAUUAUCAAUGGAGAAGGCACCUACUGAAAUCUGCAUAACAAACAUUACUCUUAUUUACCAUACUUGUCCUGUUCACCUCCCCAUAACUGGCUUCGCCCACAAUCUUCUCUGUUUUUAGUUGAAAAUGCUUUAGAAGCUGGAGUUCUAGAUCACCUCUUUCAGAAUUACUCAUUUUCCCCUGGGUAUCUCCUAUGUAUACAUGAAGCAUACAUGUUAACAAACUUCUGCUUGUUUUUCUUUUGUUACCCUGUUGGUUUGUUAUAGUGGUUCCAACCCAGAAAUUAGAAGGGUAGAGGGAAAAUGAUUUUUUUUCUCCCCUCCACUUGAAAUAUGUAUUCUUCCUGCUCUAUGAAGUUGUUUGGAUGUUCAUUAACUCACCACUCUCAAAUACAUAAUUAGUUUCUGCCUA